UACGGAGGGUGCAAGCGUUGUCCGGAUUCAUUGGGUUUAAAGGGUGCGCAGGCGGGCCAUUAAGUCAGGGGUGAAAGACGGUUGCUCAACAAUCGCAGUGCCUUUGAUACUGGUGAUCUUGGGUGACCUUGAGGUAGGCGGAAUGGGUGGUGUAGCGGUGAAAUGCAUAGAUACCACCCAGAACUCCGAUUGCGAAGGCAGCCUACUGGAGGUUCACCGACGCUCAGGCACGAAAGCGUGGGGAUCAAACAGG
rnacentral:rRNA from 1 species